UUACCAUAAUUGAGGGUCGAAAGUCGCAUAGUUUUGGAUAUCCACCUAUAUUAGAUCCAGAAGAAGAUUGACCUAAUAACUAAUGAGAAAUCAUUUGUUUAUAAGCCAGUCCACAUUUCAAAGCUGUUGUAAGUACAAUUCUUUAUCAAAUGAGUGUUUUUUUCUUCCCACUUUUGUAUAAAACUCUAAUUUUUAAGAAGUGAUGUACUAUUUGAAUAAAGGCUCUAUAAAUAUUUCUAUGUAUAUUAUAUCUCAUUUCAGCAACAAUAAUGCCUAUUACUAGUGGUUUUACCUAUGAUUAAUAUUUUGUUAUUGUCUACAAUUUAAUUAUUCAUUAUGUGAUAACUAAUCAAUAAUAUUUUUUUUGUCAAAAAAUAAUCAAUAAUAUUUGAACAUUCAUCAUUUCAAUACACUCAUUCAACAAAAUAUUUUCUUUUUGUCUAUAUUUUACAAUCACAUCAUCGAUAUAUCACCAAAAUAUUAUAUUUAACUUAUCACAAUAUUUUUUUUUUCAAGAUAUCCUAGUAAGAACGGAUAUAUCCAAAAACAUUUUUUAUAUUAAAAACCCAAAGAAAAAGAUCAAUUAGAUAACAGCUGUACGUCACAUGUUCUAGAACUAUAAACAUAAAAAUAUUCAAAUUAGUUAUGUGUAUCUAGAACAAAAGAUCCAUCUCCUUUUCUUAGACCAUCGAUAAGAUAAUCCUACCGUGGAGUAGAAAAUUUGAGAUUAAAUUGUAACAUCCUGAUUUUUAAUAUUAACCUGUUAAUAUAAUUAUUGGAUAAUAUUAGUAUUAUUGUCAUUAUUAGUAUUGAUUGCUCGAUAUUAUGAAAUUAAAUUAUUCGUGAUUAUAGGUGAUGUUAUGAAUAAUGAGGAAGUAGAGGAGUUAACUAGUUGGUUAAAGAAUGAGAGAAAAUAAUUUUUUUGGAAGAAAAUAGUGUUUUUGGUAAGAAUAAGGAAGUAGAAUGCAAACAGAGAUGCAUUAGUAAAAUUGGAUAGAAAAGAGGUGGAAGUAGCAAAGUGAUGGACAAAAUUGGCAAGUACACCAAAUUAUAACAAGUAGUAAGUUGUAUCGUUCUUCACAAAGAUUGUCGUUCAACUCAAUAUAUAAUUUGCAAAACUUAUUUUAACACGGAAAAUAGUAAUGAUGGUUAGAAUUGCAGGGUUUAAUUGCCCGACCCAAUGCAAGAUUAGGUUUGUGUGAUUCAGAUGUGUAAUAGUGAUUAGGGAAUCCGUGAAUCCCAUCUUCCUUCUUUGUUGGAUCAAUUCAAAGUCCUUAUUAAUUAAGACCUAAAAACUACAUAAACAAAGAACAAUAAUGAACAAAGUACUCCCAUGAACAAUUAUGAAUAAAUAAGAAAUAAGUACUCCCAUGAACGAAUAAUUUCAGGUUGUCAAUCAUACUAAUCUUCUAUGAAUCAAUUUUUAGGAUUACCUAUACAUAUUUUCAAUUGAAAAAUAAUUACGAACAGACUAGUACAAAUUAAAUCGGACACCAGAAUAUAACUGAAUGAAAACUUUAUUAGUUGAAUCUAACAAAUAAGAAGGGGUUCAUAGUUGAACCCUAAUCAAGAGGUUUAUUUGCUCAUGGAAACAUACAUCAUAACAAAACAAAAUAAAAACAUACCCUAGGAAGAGUACAAGGAGGAGAAAUUCCUCCUUGAAUCUAUGAUGCUUGACCCUUGCUCUAAACCGUCAAUGUUUCUGAAUGAAUAAAAUAGUGUGCAAGGAUCUCUAUUUAUAACGUAAGGUUGCUUAGGAUUUAAUUCGAGAAAACUAGGAUUUUCUACCGAUCCAUGUAUGCCUGGGUCUUCUGGGUUUAUUUCUGAAGGAAUUUCCCUUCUUUAGUCCCAUGCACUUUGGGUUUUGUUGCUCAGAUUUGUUCAAGACCUUUGGAUUGGAGGAUAAUCUUGAAUACUCUUUGAACUAAAAUUUGAGUCCCGGCUGGCCAUGAAUCUGAAAGUCCUUUGUUUUGACUUAGUCAACACCUUGGAUCUUGACUCUCUUGUCUCUGAUGGGUUUCGAUUCUCUGCUUUUUCAGCAUUUGGAUUUGAGUAAAAGAGCAGACCCUUUUGAGUGCAAACAGAACAUGAUAAUUGUUUUGUCUUGACAAGAGUAUGUGUAUCCCUAACAGACGCACUUGUGAAGUCAAUUUCUCUCCCUUUUUUCUUACUAAUAUUGUGAGGGGUUAAUAGAUCUUUACCCCCCUGUAAUAUAUGUCAUUUCCGGGUUUCCCCCCUGUAAAAUUAUUUUUUUGAUUUACCCCCUUGUAAUUUUUUUUUGUUUUGAUUUACCCCCCUAAUAGGCCAAACAAAAACGAAAAUUUCUUGAAAAAAAAUAAAAUUAGUUUUUGUUUGGCCUAUUAGGGGGGUAAAACAAAACAAAAAAAAAAUUGCAGGGGGGUAAAUCAAAAAAAUAAUUUUACAGGGUGGAAAACCGGAAAUGACCUAUAUUACAGGGGGGUAAAAACCUAUUAACCCUAUUGUGAGAUAUGGAAGCUAAUCUACUUCUGUCAAAAUCAUAAUCACUAGAUUCUUCAGAUGAACUAUUGAAUUUAGUUGAAAGUAUGUCGAUUUCAUCUGGGGUUAAAAGUUGCCUUAGCAUGAGAUUUUGUCUUGAUAGAUAGUGAUUUUGGCGUCUCAAAGGUUUUAACUCUUCUGAUAAAAAAUUAAAUUGUUUUUGCAAGUCCUUUAAGGAUCUUGAUUUGUUCAGAUAGAGUCUUAGAAGCCUUCUGACAUAAGGAAUAUACCCAUUACAGAUUUGUUCAAAGAUUACCUCAUCAUCCUUAUCUGAAUAUGAGCUUGGUUCUUCACCAGAAGAUGUUUUAACUACUAAACCCAUAUUAGCUUCCUCUUUGUUGUCCUCAGAGUCUGUAUCUUCAUCAAGCAUCUUCCAGGUUUCCAUGAAGAUUUCCUUGAGCUUUCACUUGUAGGUUUCCCUAUGCUGAUUUUCCCUAAUGCGCCUCAGGGAAAUCAGCUAUGAAGUGACCAUUCUUUCCACAGUUGAAGCAUCCUUUUUUAUUAUCUCUUUUGUCUGUGAAGUGGGAUGUCUUUAAGUCACUGCUUCUGCUAAAUGCUAUCUAAGGACACCCUUUGAUAGCUAUUUUUAACAAAAAGUGCUAUAUAAACCCUGCUUUAGACAACAGUUUAUAAAGAAAACAAGCACUAUAUUACAUUUACCAGCGUCAUUUACCAUAGCGCUUUUAAAGUGCUAUAAAUGGUCCGAAAAAUCACUAUCUAUGACCAUUUUUUGCAUAAUGUCUCCUCUCAUAUUAAUCCUCAUAUUACAUCAUUACUUAUCAUAACUCUAUUUCUUUUAAAAUAAUAUAAUAUUAAAUAAAAGUGCAUCAUCAUAAUCCUAAAUAAGACUCAACCUAUUUUAAUAUUAUUAAAUUAAUUGAUUAAAAAUUUGGGGUUUGUACAUGUUCAUCUAGGGAGUCUUCUACAGUGCCUACCAAAUCCAUGUUUCUCUAAUCCGUCGGGUGAAUGGACCAUACGACGCACGAUCGUCAUCAAAAUAUGACAAAGACAAUUAGCGUCUUAUAUGCCUUGGGGAGUGGGGUUACCUUCUACUCGGAGAACUCCUAGGAGAUCUUAUUUUUGGAGAAUGUCUAGGAGAUCUUAUGUUCAGAGAAUGUCUAGGGGACCUGGAUCUUGAUGGAAGGGUAUUCCUUCCCAUGCUGCUAUGAUGUGGGGAAGGAGGUCGAAUAAUUGAACGAGGAUAUGGUGAUCUCCUCAGUAAUCCUUGGAGUGGGGAUCCUUCAUUUCUUUGAUUUGUCGGUUCUGAUCCUUAAUCAUAUAAUUUUUGCGGUGUAGGGUUUGAAGGAUGUUGUUGAACAUGACAUCUACGGGAGAUGUGUUGCUUGCUUCCUUGUUUGGCCGCGAGGGGACAAUUAGUGGAGCCUCUCGAAGGGAACUCGCCAUUGAUGGGACACGAUGGUGCACUCGUCAGUUGGUGAGGGAGUUAAUGUUUGACCGUCACGUUGUGGACGGUGGAUCUCACUCUUGGGAUGCUGCACCGUUGGCCAUCGUAAGAGUAGGUUCCUUUUAGGAAAUUUAUGAAGAUUUGGUCUUUUAAGUAGGAAAAUACGAUACCACUAAUUGUACCUUAUAAGAUGAUGACGUAUGAUGCAGUAGUCUUUGGCUGUUUGUGAGAUUUAAAACGACCAGGGGGGUGUACAUGCAAACACUCUUACGCUCAAGUAAGUUUAAGAUGGUUAGAGAUAGAAAUGGUAUCAUACCUUUGGGGAUUGUGUAAAGUCCUCUUAUAUAAAGGUGACGGGCAUGAGUCGUUGUAAGGCACAAUGAGGCAUCUGACGGUUACAAAUUUCCAGGAAUCGUUAUCGUCGAGCGAGAAUCGUGGGCAUGUUCUACAUUCAGUUUGAAUGUGUCUUACACCCUCCUCGCAGAGAGAGGGUGUGUGUCGGAAGUAAUCGACCCAAAUGCAAGAUUGGGCCUGUUUUGGUUCGGGCAUGUACAAAUAAGCAUUACACAACUGCUCAGUCCGGAACAUAUUUAAUAUAAAAAGAUCAAUAAAAAAUGAGGCAUGCUCUAAGGAAUCAAUUCUAAAUGACGUGAAAUCUUAGCAAUGUACAUUUAGUUGAACCUAAAUACAUGAAAACUAUCAUGCAAAUUCAAGCUUCGAACUUGAAGAAAUCCAUAAAAGAAUAAUGUAUUGUGAUUAGCAAAGCACAAUCACAUACAUCUCGAUUGUUCGAUCAAGGAUGAUCCAGUUCUUAAAAAAAAUUACUAUUUAAUAUAAAACUAGAGUUCGUAAAGUAGACUGCCCAAAACCAAGAUGUAGUGAUUGUGUGCAAUCAUAUAAUCGUGACUACACCUAAUCUUGAUGUAACAAUCAUAGCUUAUUACCCCAUCCCGUCCUUAAUAUAAGAAGAAAACCCAAAAAAUUUUAAAACUAAGACAAUCAUUAAUUGUUGUAACUUUUUAAAUAUUUUUACAAAUAUACAAUCAUAAUCUUUUACGUAAUAAAUACACCAUAAAAGUUAUGACUUUUUUUAUAAAUAGAAUCAAUUUUUUUUUGAAAAAUUUCAUACUGGAGGGAGAAAUUUUGUUUAACAAUAAAGGUUAGUUGUUACUCAAAUGUGCACAAGUUGAUCCGAUAAUAACGUGAAAACAACAUACAAGACAUGAAGUUAAAUAUGUAUUUAAAAAGAUAAAAAUAUAAUUAAUGUGUGCACAAAAAUAAUCCCGACGAAUGCCUUUUACCCUUUUGUGACUUCAGUUGGACAUUUUUAUUACUAAAGUAUAAUAGAUAAUUUUUUUGACAAAAGCAUAAUAAUAUAAAUUGAUGACCCUGUUCAAAAAAAAUAUAAAUUGAUGACCUCAACACAAAAUAUUCUUAGGUGUUUUCCUAUAAAUAGUUGUUUCACUCUUUCCAGUGUGUCAAUCAAAAUUCGAUCAAAAUAUGAGCUCUAAAUAUUCAUUAGUAUUACUUUUACUUGGAAUGAUAAUGCUUACCACUGUGAUUGGUGAAAGGAAUAAUAAUAAAUUUGAAUAUGAUCCUAUGUUAGAUCCAGAAGAUUAUUGGCCAGAGAUUUUUCAUGAACCACUACCAUCCCACUAUAAAAUACCUAAAGAGGAGUUACCUGAUUAUGAGACAAACUAGUCAAAUGAAGCCAUCAACCACACCGUUUGAGCCAGUCCACAUUGCAAAAAUUUCUUAUCAUUACAAGUGAUCGAAGUGGCAAAAGUGGGUCUAGUAAAAUAAUAAGAAUAAUUGUUUGUUAUAUGAAGUUUUCUUUUCUUUAUUUUUUUCUUCCUAUUUACCUUUAAAAUUCUAUUUUUUUAAGUAAUGAAGUACAAUUUGCCCCUUUAUUUGAUUAAAGGCUCAAUAAACAUGUAUAUGUAUAAUAAUUACCUCUUAUUUCAGCAUAAAUAAUGUCAACUACUAAAAAUUUUAUCUAUGAUUACAACAAUAAUGCCAAUUUGGUUUGAUAUAUACUCCAUCUAUUUUUCCUCAAAAAAUAUACUCAAUCUAUUUCCAAUUUAAUUGUCAUUUUUAUAAUUUUUCUUUGUCUCAAUAUGACUAAGAGCGGGAGUGGACAUGUGUAGCGUGAUCCCGACAGGGAGGCAUGCUCCAAUGUGGAACGACGCAGGCGAAUUGGCGUGCUCCUUUGAGUGCGAAGCCUUGAGGCUGCGUAAUAUUGCACAUUUGUAGCCGUGUGAGUGGUCUAGAACUGAGCUAUUUUAUUUUUAAAUUCAUCUUCUUUUUCAUGAUAGAGGGCUAAGUGAUUUGGUGUAGUUUCGGAGAAUAUCAUAUCUAUACUAUAUGUAAAGAAAACUACCCCUUUCAGCUCUUUUGGGUUGGAUUUUUCUUUGCGGAAAUGCUCUCAAUUUUCAAUACAAAUAACACAUGUAACAAAUAGAUAAGAAUAGAUUUAAAUAUUUAUACUAUAUAUAAAGAAAACUACCCCUUUUAGCUCUUUUGGGUUGAAUUUUUCUUUCCAAAAAUUCCCUCAAUUUUCAAUACAAAUAACACAUGUAACAAAUAUAUAAAAAUAAAUUUAAAUAUUAAAAUAAAAGUGUAACAAACAUAAAUGUUCAAUUUUUUACUUUAUCAUUUAAAAAGUGUAACAAACUAGAUGAGUGUAUCCAUACUUAUUUUUUCAUUAUCCCAAUUACAUGCCCUUAAACAACAACUUUUUCUAUUCUCUAAAAAAACAACUUUUUCUAUAAUAAAGAUUGUUGUUGGUUUCAUUAAAUAAAUACUCCAUCCGUUCCUUUUUAAGUGUCACUUUUGCAGAAAUUUUUUGUUCCUAUUUAACUGGCACUUUCAAAGUUCAAUGCAACAUUAAAUGUUGUUUUACCAAUAUUAUCCUUAGUUAUUUAUUGCGGAGAGAGAAAUAUAUGAAAUGAGAUAUUAAAUGAAUAAGAUCAUUAUAGUAAAAGUAUAGCUUAUUGCAUUAAAAGGAAUAUCAAUUGUUGAUUGUCUUGAUUUCGUAACUCGCGAAGCGUAUUACGAAAUGUGCAUCACAGGAUCCUGAGGAAUUGACCUAUGUUCAGUCUCGUAUUAACCCCCGUCACGCACUAUGAUAUCAUCCUUUAACGAUAUCAUCAACAUAUAUAUUAUAUCAUCAACAUAUAUAUGAACAAUUAAAAUUUCAUCCUUUAAUAAUUUUCAAAAGAGUGUGAUGUCAACUUGAUCUUGUGAAAACCGUUUUCUAAAAUAAUGUUACUAGGGUCUUUCAUACCAAGCUAUGGCAGCUUGUUCCAGAUUAUACAAUGAAAUCUUCAAACUCAGGAAGUUGUUUCAUACACUUCUUCAGAAAUGAUACCUAUAAAAUACGAACUUAUAAAAUCCACUUGAUAUAGAAUGAUAUCAUUAUUUACAACACAUGAUAAUAAUAGACUAAUUGCUUAUAAUUUUGCUACAUGUGCAAAUGUUUCAGCGAAAUCUAUCUCUUCUUGCUGACUAUUUCCUUGUACUACUAGUCUAGCUUUAAUUUUUACUAUAUCAUUUUGUUUAUUGAGCUUGUUUCUGAAAACCCACUUUAUGACAAUGACAUUAUUACCUUUUGAUCUUGGAACUAUUUCUCAAACAUCAUUUCACUUUGAUAAUUGUGCCCUACAAAAUUCCACUAGUCUUUUUAUGACUUCCGAUCAUAACAAGUAGUAUUUACUAUUUUUACAGAGGCUUUUGUGUCAGNGGGGGGGGGGUGGAUUAAAAGGCGACGAGGUCAUAUCAUAUUCCCUUGAUUGAUUGCUCGAUUUUAAGACAUCUGAUCAAAUUAGUUAGGCCAGUGUCUUGGUAACUGUUAAGAAUCAUGGAAUCAUAGGGAGAAAAGUCAUAGAUGUAAGCGAGAUAGCAAGCAUAAGAGUACUCAUGUGGGAGAUACUCAUAGAAACUCAUUGUAGAAAUGAAUAGAUUGAUAAAAAGAUAUUGAAUGAGUACAAUAGUGUUCCUAUAUAUAAGAGAUUAGUUUGAGUAACUAACUCUAACUAACUUCUAACCAAACUACUAACUCUAGUUUACUUAUCAACUAACUAUAGUUGAUUACAAUUACUCUAGUCUAACUACCUUAACUAACUACACAUAACUUCCAACUAUUUUAACAGUAACUAACACUCUUCAAUAGUUAUGACUCCUUAAUGUCUUAGGUUAGUCUAUAACCAUUGAAGGAUUAGUAACGCCAAAUUAAGCACAUAAAUCAAUAUUAGAAAAUUUCUAAAGCUAAUAACAACUAAACGAUUAAAUUAAAUUAGGUCAAGCCAUUAAAGUCAGGGUUAGUAACCACCAAGACCUAAAUCAAUUUAUAAACAUUUAUAAAUGCAUAAAAAAGCAUUAAGGAUAAACUCAACCAAUAAAAUAAUAAAGUAGACAACUGAAGUCAUAGGAUAAUUUAAAGUUACAAAAUCAAACGAUUACAGAGAAGUUCCUCUUUUAUGACCCAACCCCGAUAGAAUUAGUUACUCGUUAUUUCUAAACAUAAACUACUGCAUAUGAAUAAGAAAGCAUGAGAAAAGGAUCAUCAGUUGAUGAAUCCAUGGCUCUCAAAUGGAUCUGAUCGCUCCUAAUAUACCAAAAUCGUGUUUCUGCCUUCAUAUUCUCAUCAAAAAGUGUUUUUUCACUGACCUAGGUGUUUGCCUUAUAUAGGCACGUAUUUUCCUUAAAAUUAGUGAAAGUUGGCCCGCGAUGUUAGUUAAACAUAGAGUGAACACCUUGCAUGUCAUUUAUAUCUCACGAUGUGGAGGUUAUAGCCUGCAAUACGAGAUAGAUAGUGGUUGAAUCUUACAAAUUCCAUUUUGAUUUUACAAAUGACUUAAAACUUCUAUCUAAUUUCAUAUCAUCAAUGAUCCUCUUAGAAUCUAAUUGAGUUAUUUUAUUUAUGAGUUCUAGUUUAUGCAAUUGAUACCCAUGUACAUUCGAUAAUUCUUGUUAUUUAAUUGUGAUCUUACCAAUAUUGAAUUGAACCUAAGGUAUAAUUCACUACCAGCCCUAAAUUUGUAUCUGGAUAAUGGUUUGUUUUGGUUGUUUGUAUGACUCUAUGUUUGUAAAAUAGUUCUUUUGGCACACCUUGUACUAGAGGAGUUGCUUUUGGUGGUUAAUAUAUAUUCCAUUUUUUAUUGUUCAAAAAAAAGUUAUUGUUCGCUAAGUAAUUGUCUUAGAGAUAUCAUAUCAUUUAGCUGUGACAAAAUUUAGUUGCCGAUCAUGCUUUUGAUGUUAGACACGCGAGACCUGGCUUGAGUCAAAAAAUUGGUUUUGCUAUAUUUUGCUAAAUUGUCGUGAACAUAAUCAAUUGUUACGGCUAGUACCACUAUUACCAAAUCCUAAUCUCUGUUAAUCAUCAGUUGUUUCAUUUAAUUUAGCUAAUUAAGUGGAACAUAAUUGCCAUGGUUUAGAACUGGGGUUAUUGCUUUAGGUUUUUCAAACGGUUUUUAAAGUCUCCUUAUUGGAGAUGCUUUCUCUAAGGAUUCAAUUCUAAAUAACGUGAAAUCUUAGUAAUGUACAUUAGUUCGGCAUUAAAACAUGAUGAAAUUCAUAAAACAUUAACGGAUAAGAUUAGUGUUGUGUAAUCAUUGAGACGAUCCAGAUUUUAAAACCUUACCUUUUAAUCCAAAAUUAGAUUUUAGAUAUAGACCGUCCGAAACCGAGAUGUUGUAAUUGUGUGCAAUCAUAAGAUCAUGACUACACCUAACCCUAAUCUAAUAAACACCAAGAAUGAUAUAUAUAUAUAUAUAUAUAUAUAUAUAUAUAUAUAUAUAUAUAUAUAUAAUACCGUUUUUGCUUAUAAAUAGGAAGCAAGGGAUAAGAUAUGGAUUUUUUUUUUUUGAGGGAGGAUAACAUAUAGAGUUAAACAUGUAUAAAAUGGUAGAAAUGUGCACAAAAAUAAUCACAACAAAUGCACACUACCCUUUUGUGACCUCAUUUGGACCAUUUUUAUUACUAAAGUAUAAAAUAUGAUAAAUAAUUUAAGUUGACGUGCUCAACAUUAAAUAUUCUCAAGGGUUUUCUUAUAAAUAGUUGUCUCACCCUUUCCAUUUGUGUGAAUUAAAAUCUAUAAAAACAUGGCCUCUAAAUACUCACAAGUAUUACUUCUACUUGGAAUGAUGGUUCUUACUACUGUAGUGAGUGAUGGGCAUAAUAGUUUUGGGUAUGCGCCAAUGUUAGAUCCAGAGGAGGAUUGGCCAGACCAAUUCUUUCCACCACUUACCAUAAUUGAGGGUCGAAAGUCGCAUAGUUUUGGAUAUCCACCUAUAUUAGAUCCAGAAGAAGAUUGACCUAAUAACUAAUGAGAAAUCAUUUGUUUAUAAGCCAGUCCACAUUUCAAAGCUGUUGUAAGUACAAUUCUUUAUCAAAUGAAGUGUUUUUUUCUUCCCACUUUUGUAUAAAACUCUAAUUUUUAAGAAGUGAUGUACUAUUUGAAUAAAGGCUCUAUAAAUAUUUCUAUGUAUAUUAUAUCUCAUUUCAGCAACAAUAAUGCCUAUUACUAGUGGUUUUACCUAUGAUUAAUAUUUUGUUAUUGUCUACAAUUUAAUUAUUCAUUAUGUUAUAAAUAAUCAAUAAUUUUUUUUUUGACAAAAAAUAAUCAAUAAUAUUUGAACAUUCAUUAUUUCAAUACACUCAUUCAACAAAAUAUUUUCUUUUUGUCUAUAUUUUACAAUCACAUCAUCGAUAUAUCACCAAAAUAUUAUAUUUAUCUUAUCACAAUAUUUUUUUUUUCAAGAUAUCCUAGUAAGAACGGAUAUCCAAAAACAUUUUUUUAUAUUAAAAACCCAAAGAAAAAGAUCAAUUAGAUAACAUCUGUACGUCACAUGUUCUAGAACUAUAAACAUAAAAAUAUUCAAAUUAGUUAUGUGUAUCUAGAACAAAAGAUCCAUCUCCUUUCCUUAGACCAUCGAUAAGGUAAUCCUACCGUGGAGUAGAAAAUUUGAGGUUAAGUUGUAAUAUCCUGAUUUUUAAUAUUAAUAUGUUAAUAUAAUUAUUGGAUAAUAUUAGUAUUAUUGUCAAUUAUUAGUAUUGAUUGCUCGAUAUUAUGAAAUUAAAUUAUUCGUGAUUAUAGGUGUUAUGAAUAAUGAGGAAGUAGAGGAGUUAACUAGUUUGGUUAAAGAAUGAGAGAAAAUAAUUUUUUGGGAAGAAUAUAGUGUUUUUGGUAAGAAUAAGGAAGUAGAAUGCAAACAGAGGUGCAUUAGUAAAACUGGAUAGAAAAGAGGUGGAAGUUGCAAAGUGAUGGACAAAAUUGGCAAGUACACCAAAUUGUAAUAAGUAGUAAGUUGUAUCGUUCUUCACAAAGAUUGUCGUUCAACUCAAUAUAUAAUUUGCAAAACUUAUUUUAACACGGAAAAUAGUAAUGAUGGUUAGAAUUGCAGGGUUUAAUUGCCCGACCCAAUGCAAGAUUAGGUUUGUGUGAUUCAGAUGUGUAAUGUGAUUAGGGAAUCCGUGAAUCCCAUCUUCCUUCUUUGUUGGAUCAAUUCAAAGUCCUUAUUAAUUAAGACCUAAAAACUACAUAAACAAAGAACAAAGUACUCCCAUGAACAAUUAUGAAUAAAUAAGAAAUAAGUACUCCCAUGAACGAAUAAUUCCAGGUUGUCAAUCAUACUAAUCUUCUAUGAAUCAAUUUUCAAGAUUACCUAUACAGAUUUUCAAUUGAAAAAUAAUUACGAACAGACAAGUACAAAUUAAAUCGGACACCAGAAUAUAACUGAAUGAAAACUUUAUUAGUUGAAUCUAACAAAUAAGAAGGGGUUCAUAGUGGAACCCUAAUCAAGAGGUUUAUUUGCUCAUGGAAACAUACAUCAUAACAACAUAAAAUAAAAACAUACCCUAGGAAGAAUACAAGGAGGAGAAAUUCCUCCUUGAAUCUAUGAUGCUUGACCCUUGCUCUAAACCGCCAAUGUUUCUGAAUGAAUAAAAUAGUGUACAAGGGUCUCUAUUUAUAACGUAAGGUUGCUUAGGAUUUAAGUCGAGAAAGCUAUGAUUUUCUACCGAUCCAUGUAUGCUUGGGUUCUCUGGGUUUAUUUCUGAAGGAAUUUCCCUUCUUUAGUCCCAUGCACUUUGGGUUUUGUUGCUCAGAUUUAUUCAAGACCUUUGGAUUGGAGGAUAAUCUUGAAUACUCUUUGAACUAAAAUUUGAGUCCCGGUUGGCCAUGAAUCUAAAAGUCCUUUGUUUUGACUUAGUUAACACCUUGGAUCUUGACUUUCUUGUCUCUGAUGGGUUUUGAUUCUCUGCUUUUUCAGCAUUUGGAUUUGAGUAAAAGAGCAGACCCUUUUGAGUGCAAACAAAACAGGAUAAUUGAUUUGUCUUCACAAGAGUAUGUGUAUCCUUAACAGACGCACUUGUGAAGUCAAUUUCUCUCCCUUUUUUCUUACUAAUAUUGUGAGAUAUGGAAGCUAAUCUACUUCUAUCAAAAUCAUAAUCACUAGAUACUUCAGAUGAACUGUUGAAUUUAGUUGAAAGUAUGUCGAUUUCAUCUGGGUUAAAAGUUGCCUUAGCAUGAGAUUUUGUCUUGACAGAUAGUGAUUUUGGCGUCUCAAAGGUUUAACUCUUCUGAUAAAAAAUUAAAUUGUUUUUGCAAGUCCUUUAAGGAUCUUGAUUUGUUCAGAUAGAGUCUUAGAAGCCUUUUGACAUAAGGAAUAUACUCAUUACAGAUUUGUUCAUAGAUUACCUCAUCAUCCUCAUCUGAAUAUGAGCUUGGUUCUUCACCAGAAGAUGUUGUAACUACUAAACCCAUAUUAGCUUCCUCUUUGUUGUCCUUAGAGUCUGUAUCUUCAUCAAGCAUCUUCCAGGUUUCCAUGAAGAUUUCCUUGAGCUUUCACUUGUAGGUUUCCGUUUUGAGGUUUCCCUAUGCUGAUUAGCCCUAAUGUGCGUCAGGGAAAUCAGCUAUGAAGUGACCAUUCUUUCCACAGUUGAAGCAUCCUUUUUUAUUAUCUCUUUUGUCUGUGAAGCGGGAUGUCUUUAAGUCACUACUUCUGCUAGGAAAUCUUCUUUUCAUAGUCAAGUAAGUCAUCUCUUAAAAAUCUUCAUUAUCAUCAGAUUCAUCAUUUGAAUCCUUCUAUUCUGAUUUAGUAGUUUGAGGAGAUUUGGUGGUCUUUUCCUUAGAGGUAAAGGAAACAGACUUAGAGAGAUUGUUUGGUUCGUCACCUUCAAGUUCCAUCUCAUGGCUUUAGAGAGAAAAUAUCGGGUUCUCCAAGUCUUUUGCCUCUUGUAUGGUAGUGACUUUUGGCCUUAACCUUGCAAGAAGACUCGUAAGAAUCUUAUUUACAUGGUUUGGUGCAACAUAUCUUUUUUUUGGACCUUGAAGUCCAAAGAAAAGAGUUUGAAACCUUGAAUACAUGGUUUCAAUAUCUUGAUCCUCUUUCAUCUUGAAAAGCUCAAACUGGUAAACCAGCUGGUUUGCCAUAGCUUCCUUUACCUGCUGAUUUCCUUCGUAGGUAGAGUACAAUGAUUCAAAGAUGGACUUUCCAGUAGAUCUAUCCCCAAUCUUCGUGUAUUCAGUAUGAGGUAAAACUUCCACCAGAAUCCCUCUCACUCUAUGGUGCUUUUUAUAGAUCUUCUUUUGAGUGGCAGUCGACUUCUUCCUGUCUGUUAACAUUCCUUCUUCUUUAGCCUCAAAGCCAAGUCAAUCUUCAAUAACAUUCCAGAGUUCAUCAUUAAUCCCUAUGAUCUACCUAUAGAUUUUCCUCUUCCACCAAGACAACUGAGAGCAUCUCCAUUAAAAAAUGAAGGAUUAGCAGAAUAACUGUUCUUCUUAAUGGUGGAGAUGUUGUUGAUAUCAAGCUUGAAAGUUUCACUGAUCGAAGUCACGUCUUUCUCACUAGUUCUUUUUAUGUGGCACGGUUAGGUGACAGAGCACAUAACAGGCUCUAAUACAAACUAAAGGUGAGAAACACACAUAGGAAGGGGGGGUUGAAUUGUGGCCUUUUUGACGGUUUCUUUUUCUAAGCGUUUAAUACAGUCUUGGACAGAAUCUGAUGUUGCAGAUUCUGACUCAGAGUCUGCUUGUAGCAGAAAUACAGAACACACAGAUAAAAGAUAAAUAGUCCGAGAGAGAUAAGACAAACACAAGGCAAUUUAUAUUGGUUCCUCCCACAAAACAAGAGUAGUCUAGUUCCCUUGCACUUCUUAGGGAUUUCACUAUAAUCACUUAGAUUACAACUUGCUCAAGGAUACACCAAGAGACUUCUCAAUGCUCAAGCACACAGCAAGAGACUUCUAUGCUCUAGGACUCUAUCUAAAGACUACUUUUCUCAAGCACACUUGCAAGAGACUUCCCAAUGCUUAAGCACAACUGCUUAAGACUUUACCACUCUCAAUCACAACUAACUGACACUUUCUAGGUGCUCAAGGUUUCACUAGGAGACUUAUAUGCUCAAGCACGUAAGCAAAAGACUUUCUCAAAUAUUUGCCCCAACUACAAACAAUUUAACUUAUUCUUACACUUUUUCUAACUAGUAAGUCUAAACUGAACAAUAGUAGUGAUUUGAGAGACGUUGGAGAGGAGUGCCAACACAAAUAGAGUCAUUGACAAGCUUUGAUCAUGAACGUUGGCCUUUUGCCUGAUAUGAAUAAUCCCAAUGAAAAGUCCUUUGAAUUUCCUUUGCUAUUCGUUGUUAUCUUCGUUCCUAGUGUCCUUUGUCUGGUUGAACACGUUUAUGGAAGAAGACAAAAGAACUGCUAUAUCAGAUGCUAUGAUAGAGAUAACUCACAAAAUAAUAAAAUAGCUUAUGUGGAUUAUGGGUCCCUUAGAUCCAAGUAGCCAGUCAAAUUUUGUGUUUGAUGUCCUUCACAUGAUCUAUGGAGAUCACCCACUAGCUUAUGUGAGACUUCCUUCUUCUAAGGACGUGUACUUCUGGUUGAACUUCCAGUAGAUCUUCCACCAUAGUCUUAUAAGCUUCUCAAUCCCUUUAUGAUGCUAUUCAUAUGUUCCUUCUUCAAGGUAAGUAGAUCCUGCACACUUGAACAUAUGUUAGUAUUCCAAUUGUUCUUCAAUACUUUGUUAUCAUCAAAACCCAAGAGAAUUUAUUUGAACCAUUCUUGGUCUAACAAAGGAUUGCGUUAUUUCUGCUUGACUACUACGUUUGUGAUUAGCUUAUGUUAGGGGGGUUGCAGUUGUCAAUUAGUGUUUUUGAAGUGACAUAAAAGAGAGAGAUUAAAAGGCGACUAUGUCAAAUGAUAUUACCUUCUCUAAAAUUGUAUAGUAACUACAAGUUAUGAAUACAUUUUGGAUUGAUUCCUCGGUUUUAAUACAUUGAUGAAAGUAGUUAGGCAAUGUCUUGGUCAAUAACAAUCUUCAAUAGUUAUGACUUCCUAAUGUCUUAGGUUAGUCCAUAACCAUAGCAUGUUUAAUAACAUCAAAUUAAGUACACAAAUCUUUAUUACAAAAUAUAUAAAUUUAAUAACAACUGAACUAUUAAAUAUGUAUAAAAUGGUAGAAAUGUCAUUUCUGCGUGCACAAAAAUAAUCCCAAGAAAUGCAUAGUACCCUUUAGUGACCUUAUUUGGACAUUUUUAUUACUAAAGUAUAAAAUAUGAUAAAUAAUUUAAGUUGACGUGCUCAACACAAUAUUCUCAUAUUUGUUUUUUUUCUUAUAAAUAGAUGUCUCACUCUUUCCAUUUGUGUGAAUCAAAUUCCAUAAUAACAUGGCCUCUAAAUACUCACUAGUAUUACUUCUACUUGGAAUGAUGGUACUUACCACAGUAGUGAGUGAUAGGAGGCCAGACCUUUUCUUUGGGUAUGUGCCUGUAUUAGAUCUAGAAGAGGAUUGGCCAGACCUUUUCUUUCCACCAUCUACCAUUAUAGUGGGUGGAAAGCCAAAUAGUUUUAGAUAUCCGCCUAUAUUAGAUCCAGAAGAAGAUUAACCUAAUAACUAAUGAGAAAUAAUUUGUUUAUGAGCCUGUCCACAUUUCAAAGCUAUUAUAAGUACAAUUCUUUAUCAUAUGAAGUGUUUUUUUCUUCCCAUUUUUGUAUAAAACUCUAAUUUUUAAGAAGUGCUGUACUAUUUGAUAUUAUAAAACUCGAAUAAAGGCUCUAUAAAUAUGUCUAUGUAUAUUACAUCUCAUUUCAGCAAUAACAGUGCCUAUUACCACUGGUUUUACCUAUGAUUAAUAUUUUGUUAUUGUCUACAAUUUAAUUAUUCAUGAUAUGACAAAUAAUCGAUGAUAUUUGAUCAUUCGUCAUUACAAUAUACUUAUUCAACAUAAUAUUAUCUUUUUAGGAUUAAUAGUGUUUUUCUUCCGUAAUAUAAGUUAUUUUUGGUUUUUCCCCUGUAGUUUUUUUUUAUUUUAAUUUCAACCUUGUAAUUUGUAGAUUUUUUGUUGUAAUUUGAGCAAAUUUAGGUUUACCCCCUUGUAAUUUGAGCAAAUUUCGGUUUACCCUCUGUCAUAUCUUCAAUUUUGUACAGUCAAAAUUCAUGAAAGUCCAAAACCAAAAAUCUUCAAAUUACAAGGACAAAAUCCAAAAAAAAUAAUUUUAGAAGGGAUAAAACAUGAAAUGACCUAUAUUAUAAGGGGUAAAAUACUAUUAUAUUCACAAAGAUAUUAUAUUUAUAUUUUACAAUCACGUCAUUGAUAUAUCACAAAAAUAUUAUAUUAAUCUUAU
rnacentral:lncRNA from 1 species